AGCGAACGCUGGCGGCAGGCCUAACACAUGCAAGUCGAACGAACCUUUCGGGGUUAGUGGCGGACGGGUGAGUAACACGUGGGAACGUGCCUUUAGGUUCGGAAUAACUCAGGGAAACUUGUGCUAAUACCGAAUGUGCCCUUCGGGGGAAAGAUUUAUCGCCUUUAGAGCGGCCCGCGUCUGAUUAGCUAGUUGGUUGAGGUAAUGGCUCACCAAGGCGUCGAUCAGUAGCUGGUCUGAGAGGAUGAUCAGCCGCAUUGGGACUGAGACACGGCCCAAACUCCUACGGGAGGCAGCAGUGGGGAAUCUUGCGCAAUGGGCGAAAGCCUGACGCAGCCAUGCCGCGUGAAUGAUGAAGGUCUUAGGAUUGUAAAAUUCUUUCACCGGGGACGAUAAUGACGGUACCCGGAGAAGAAGCCCCGGCUAACUUCGUG
rnacentral:rRNA from 1 species